rnacentral:rRNA from 1 species
UACGUAGGGUGCAAGCGUUGUCCGGAAUUAUUGGGCGUAAAGAGUUGCGUAGGUGGUUAGUUAAGCAGAUGGUGAAACCUUGUGGCUCAACCAUAAGACUAUUAUCUGAACUGGCUAACUUGAGAAUGAGAGAGGUAAUUGGAAUUCCCAGUGUAGCGGUGAAAUGCGUAGAUAUUGGGAAGAACACCAAUGGCGUAGGCAGAUUACUGGCUCAUUUCUGACACUAAGGCACGAAAGCGUGGGGAGCGAACCGG